rnacentral:lncRNA from 1 species
AGGGCUUACAUAGGCUAUGCCUAUUGCCCAAUCCAAUUCAAUUUUAUUUGAAUAAAAUAUUGUUUAAACUAUAAUUGUUUCUUGAAAUUAGGUUUUGACCUAGUUUUCAGUAACUUCGAAUUUUCUAUAAUGGGUUCUUUCAAAUCAACUGGUUUGAAAUUCUUUUUAGUGCAUAUUUUCAAUUGAUGUCCUUGUUCUGUUACAAGGGUUAGUUAUGAUAAGAGAAGAAUUGAGUUCUUAUACAACCAUGUUUCGGGGCCUGUUAUAGCUGACUGUGCGGUAUGGGCUUUGCUCAUUGU